AAAACUUUGAAGAGUGAAGUGGGGAAAUGUUCCAUGUGAACAUCACUUGGACAUGGGUUAGUCGAUCCUAAGAUAUGGGGAAUCCUUGUAUCAAGGGUGUACUCUGCAUGAACAUCGAAAGAGAAUUGGGUUAAUAUUCUCGAACCGGGACAUGUUGGUGGAUGACAAUGUUAGGAAAUCUGGAUAUGUCAUCGGGGGCCUGGGAAGAGUUAUCUUUUCUUUUUUAUGACUUUCCCACCCUGAAAUUGGUUCAACUGGAGAUAGGGUCCAACAUAUGGAAGAGAACCACACGUCUUGCGGUGUUUGGUUCCCCCUCUACAGCUAGCAAUAUUGACAAGAGAAUAUCUACCUUGGGCUACUUGUUUUCUCUUGGCUCUAGACCAAUUUGUUAGUGUUC
rnacentral:ncRNA from 1 species